GACGAACGCUGGCGGCGUGCUUAACACAUGCAAGUCGAACGGAAAGGCCCUGCUUGCAGGGUACUCGAGUGGCGAACGGGUGAGUAACACGUGGGUGAUCUGCCCUGCACUUCGGGAUAAGCCUGGGAAACUGGGUCUAAUACCGGAUAGGAGCCAUUUUUAGUGUGAUGGUUGGAAAGUUUUUUCGGUGUAGGAUGAGCUCGCGGCCUAUCAGCUUGUUGGUGGGGUAAUGGCCUACCAAGGCGGCGACGGGUAGCCGGCCUGAGAGGGUGGACGGCCACAUUGGGACUGAGAGACGGCCCAGACUCCUACGGGAGGCAGCAGUGGGGAAUAUUGCACAAUGGGCGCAAGCCUGAUGCAGCGAGGCCGCGUGGGGGAUGACGGCCUUCGGGUUGGAAACUCCUUUCGCUAGGGACGAAGCUUUUUGUGACGGUACCUAGAUAAGAAGCACCGGCUAACUACGUG
rnacentral:rRNA from 1 species